rnacentral:rRNA from 1 species
AUGAACGCUAGCGGCAGGCUUAACACAUGCAAGUCGAGGGGUAACAGGGAUUAGUUUACUAAUUUGCUGACGACCGGCGCACGGGUGAGUAACGCGUAUACAAUUUACCUCUUACUGGAAAAUAGCCCAGAGAAAUUUGGAUUAAUGCCCCAUAAUAUGUUUGAUUCGCAUGUUUUAAACAUUAAAGAUUUAUCGGUAAAAGAUGAGUAUGCGUCCCAUUAGUUAGUUGGUAAGGUAACGUCUUACCAAGACUACGAUGGGUAGGGGGACUGAGAGGUUGACCCCCCACACUGGUACUGAGACACGGACCAGACUCCUACGGGAGGCAGCAGUGAGGAAUAUUGGGCAAUGGAGGCAACUCUGACCCAGCCAUGCCGCGUGAAGGAAGAAGGUCCUACGGAUUGUAAACUUCUUUUAUUUGGGAAGAAACCUAUCUACGUGUAGAUAGCUGACGGUACCAAAAGAAUAAGGACCGGCUAACUCAGUGCCAGCAGCCGCGGUAAUACGGAGGGUCCAAGCGUUAUCCGGAAUCAUUGGGUUUAAAGGGUUCGCAGGCGGUUUAUUAAGUCAGUGGUGAAAGCUUUCGGCUCAACCGGAAAACUGCCAUUGAAACUGAUAGUCUUGAAUAUGAUUGAAGUGGGCGGAAUAUGGCAUGUAGCGGUGAAAUGCUUAGAUAUGCCAUAGAACACCGAUAGCGAAGGCAGCUCACUAAGCCAUUAUUGACGCUAAGGGACGAAAGCGUGGGGAGCGAACAGGAUUAGAUACCCUGGUAGUCCACGCUGUAAACGAUGAUCACUCGAUAUUGGCGACAAACUGUCAGUGUCUAAGCGAAAGUGAUAAGUGAUCCACCUGGGGAGUACGAUCGCAAGGUUGAAACUCAAAGGAAUUGACGGGGGCCCGCACAAGCGGUGGAGCAUGUGGUUUAAUUCGAUGAUACGCGAGGAACCUUACCUGGGCUUAAAUGCAUAAUGACAGGUCUAGAAAUAGACUUUUCUUCGGACAGAAUGCAAGGUGCUGCAUGGCUGUCGUCAGCUCGUGCUGUGAGGUGUCGGGUUAAGUCCCAUAACGAGCGCAACCCCUAUUUCUAGUUGCCAGCGAGUAAUGUCGGGGACUCUAGAGAAACUGCCGGCGCAAGCCGCGAGGAAGGUGGGGACGACGUCAAGUCAUCACGGCCCUUACGUCCAGGGCUACACACGUGCUACAAUGGUUGGGACAAAGGGCAGCUACCAGGUGACUGGAUGCUAAUCUCUAAACCCAAUCUCAGUUCGGAUUGAAGUCUGCAACUCGACUUCAUGAAGCUGGAAUCGCUAGUAAUCGUAUAUCAGCCAUGAUACGGUGAAUACGUUCCCGGGCCUUGUACACACCGCCCGUCAAGCCAUGGAAGCUGGGAGUGCCUGAAGUCGGUGACCGCAAGGAGCUGCCUAGGGUAAAACUAGUAACUGGGGCUA